rnacentral:tRNA from 1 species
GCGGCGCUCGGCCUGGGCGUGCUGGGCGCCGCGCUGUGGUCCCGGCAGGCGUGGCCGCCGCCACCGCGCCCACCGGUCCCGCCCGCGACACCGUCC